AUAGUUUCUUGGCCUUUUGGCUAAGAUCAGGUGCAUUAUCUGUUCUUAUCAGUUUAAUAUCAGAAGUUGCUCUAUCCGAGGACAAAAUAUUAAAUUGAUCUUUGGAACAGGGGUAUGAAAUUGGAGCUAGUUCUGUCCACUCCACAAAUUGACCUGUGCAUCUUCCCCCGGGGAGCAAUUCCCCCUCU